GAUGAACGCUGGCGGCGUGCCUAAUACAUGCAAGUCGAGCGAACAGACGAGGAGCUUGCUCCUCUGACGUUAGCGGCGGACGGGUGAGUAACACGUGGAUAACCUACCUAUAAGACUGGGAUAACUUCGGGAAACCGGAGCUAAUACCGGAUAAUAUAUUGAACCGCAUGGUUCAAUAGUGAAAGACGGUUUUGCUGUCACUUAUAGAUGGAUCCGCGCCGCAUUAGCUAGUUGGUAAGGUAACGGCUUACCAAGGCAACGAUGCGUAGCCGACCUGAGAGGGUGAUCGGCCACACUGGAACUGAGACACGGUCCAGACGCCUACGGGAGGCAGCAGUAGGGAAUCUUACGCAAUGGGCGAAAGCAUGACGGAGCAACGCCGCGUGAGUGAUGAAGGUCUUCGGAUCGUAAAACUCUGUUAUUAGGGAAGAACAAAUGUGUAAGUAACUAUGCACGUCUUGACGGUACCUAAUCAGAAAGCCACGGCUAACUACGUG
rnacentral:rRNA from 1 species